rnacentral:rRNA from 1 species
UACGUAGGGUCCGAGCGUUGUCCGGAAUUACUGGGCGUAAAGAGCUCGUAGGUGGUUUUGUCGCGUUGUUCGUGAAAACUCACAGCUUAACUGUGGGCGUGCGGGCGAUACGGGCAGACUUGAGUACUGCAGGGGAGACUGGAAUUCCUGGUGUAGCGGUGGAAUGCGCAGAUAUCAGGAGGAACACCGGUGGCGAAGGCGGGGUCUCUGGGGCAGUAACUGACGCUGAGGAGCGAAAAGCGUGGGGGGAGCGAAACAG